UAAGAUUUUUUUGUUUAGAAAUUAUUCAUUAGUCAUUAGUCAAUGAUACUGUAAGAGUUAUGAGUCUGAGAUUUUGACUCAUUUGAGGCCCUUCUAAUUCAACAAAAUAGUGAUUUCAAUGCCUAUUUAUGUCAUUAUUUGAUGAUAUCACAACUAUAAAAACUAAAUGACAAGGCAAAAAUAAAUCUAGGUCAAAACAUUGAAAAGAGUGUGGACUCCCAGCUGAGAGUCGCCUAACACCAUUGGUGUAUCACCCAAUGGGUAUGAACUCCAUCGAAAUUAUGGUGUUUAAUGAUAAAAGAUCAAGGCAAGUUGGCGAAGAAGGAAGACAUCAUUGAUCCUCCGAAUGUGAAAACGCGAGCUAAAUUUCAUCACCAAAGGCGACAGACUUGUGAGAUAAAAUGAAACCUAAAUGAGCAAACAAGCAUGCUGAAAUUAGUUACUGAAAUGUUGUGCGAUCGAGGAGGUCAAAAGCUGAGUCCUUAUCUAUGUGCGCAUGUUAGUAGUUUCCAUACUUCAAAGAACUUCGCCGAAGAGGAGAGGAAUGGAGAUUUGAGGGUCUCUCUAUUGUUGUCGUCUUCGAUGGGGUUCGCCAGAGUUGGCUGCAAGCAGCUGGAGCUUCUGUUUGUUGUUGUCGUCCUCACUGGAGUGGAGGAGAAGAGAGAAAGAGGCUCGUCGGUCGGAGCUGUUUCUCGCGCUGCUUCUGGCCGGUGCGGGCUUCGCUUGUAGGCGAGGAGAAUGACUCGUAGGUGGCGCCCAAUUGCAGGUUGAUUUUCGCGUCUGCUCGCUGGCCGGCGACGUUCGCUGCUUCGCCUGAAAUGGUAGGAGAAUAGAGGAGAGGUAGAGAUAGGGGAGGAGGAGAUGAGAGGAAGAUGAAGAAAGAUGGUUAGCUUAGGGUUUUGGUUCUUUUGUUGGUUUAUUCAAAAUAUAGAUAAAAGAAUGAAGAUUUAAUCUCAGCCUUUAGUUUGAAUAACAUGGACGAUCAAGAUUUGAUGAUUUGGAUGAUCAAUGGUUGAAAUUAAAGGAUGGGGAUUUCAAAAUUGAAUUGAAUCAGAUAUGC